CCUAAUACAUGCAAGUAGAACGCUGAAGAGAGGAGCUUGCUCUUCUUGGAUGAGUUGCGAACGGGUGAGUAACGCGUAGGUAACCUGCCUGGUAGCGGGGGAUAACUAUUGGAAACGAUAGCUAAUACCGCAUGAAAUCGCUUAUCGCAUGAUAAUUAAUUGAAAGAUGCAAUUGCAUCACUACCAGAUGGACCUGCGUUGUAUUAGCUAGUUGGUGAGGUAACGGCUCACCAAGGCGACGAUACAUAGCCGACCUGAGAGGGUGAUCGGCCACACUGGGACUGAGACACGGCCCAGACUCCUACGGGAGGCAGCAGUAGGGAAUCUUCGGCAAUGGGGGGAACCCUGACCGAGCAACGCCGCGUGAGUGAAGAAGGUUUUCGGAUCGUAAAGCUCUGUUGUAAGAGAAGAACGGGUGUGAGAGUGGAAAGUUCACACUGUGACGGUAUCUUACCAGAAAGGGACGGCUAACUACGUGCCAGCAGCCGCGGUAAUACGUAGGUCCCGAGCGUUGUCCGGAUUUAUUGGGCGUAAAGCGAGCGCAGGCGGUUAGAUAAGUCUGAAGUUAAAGGCUGUGGCUUAACCAUAGUAUGCUUUGGAAACUGUUUAACUUGAGUGCAGAAGGGGAGAGUGGAAUUCCAUGUGUAGCGGUGAAAUGCGUAGAUAUAUGGAGGAACACCGGUGGCGAAAGCGGCUCUCUGGUCUGUAACUGACGCUGAGGCUCGAAAGCGUGGGGAGCAAACAGGAUUAGAUACCCUGGUAGUCCACGCCGUAAACGAUGAGUGCUAGGUGUUAGGCCCUUUCCGGGGCUUAGUGCCGCAGCUAACGCAUUAAGCACUC
rnacentral:rRNA from 1 species